rnacentral:rRNA from 1 species
GACGAACGCUGGCGGCGUGCUUAACACAUGCAAGUCGAACGGAAAGGCCCUGCUUUUGUGGGGUGCUCGAGUGGCGAACGGGUGAGUAACACUUGGGUAACCUGCCCUUGACUUUGGGAUAACUUCAUGAAACUGGGGCUAAUACCGGAUAGGAGCUCCUGCUGCAUGGUGGGGGUUGGAAAGUUUCGGCGGUUGGGGAUGGACUCGCGGCUUAUCAGCUUGUUGGUGGGGUAGUGGCUUACCAAGGCUUUGACGGGUAGCCGGCCUGAGAGGGUGACCGGCCCCAUUGGGAUUGAGAUACGGCCCAGACUCCUACGGGAGGCAGCAGUGGGGAAUAUUGCACAAUGGGCGGAAGCCUGAUGCAGCAACGCCGCGUGCGGGAUGACGGCCUUCGGGUUGUAAACCGCUUUCGCCUGUGACGAAGCGUGAGUGACGGUAAUGGGUAAAGAAGCACCGGCUAACUACGUG